rnacentral:snoRNA from 1 species
UUAUGGCAGGACCUCUCCAUAGCAAAGCAAUCUGUGGCCCUGAACAAUUGUCUGGCCCUUGCCAGUGGACUGCAGGCACUGAGCAGGUUGUAUAGUG